rnacentral:rRNA from 1 species
GGGGAUUGUGGCGACGGGUGAGUACACGUGGGCAAUCUGCCCUUCACUCUGGGACAAGCCCUGGAAACGGGGUCUAAUACCGGAUAACACCGGCUUCCGCAUGGGAGCUGGUUGAAAGCUCCGGCGGUGAAGGAUGAGCCCGCGGCCUAUCAGCUUGUUGGUGGGGUAAUGGCCUACCAAGGCGACGACGGGUAGCCGGCCUGAGAGGGCGACCGGCCACACUGGGACUGAGACACGGCCCAGACUCCUACGGGAGGCAGCAGUGGGGAAUAUUGCACAAUGGGCGAAAGCCUGAUGCAGCGACGCCGCGUGAGGGAUGACGGCCUUCGGGUUGUAAACCUCUUUCAGCAGGGAAGAAGCGAAAGUGACGGUACCUGCAGAAGAAGCGCCGGCUAACUACGUGCCAGCAGCCGGGGGAAAUACG